AUGGCGACCAGGCGGCCUCCGCCGCAGCGCCGCCCCAGCUCUCCGGGGGCGCUGAUCGACGACCUCAUGCGCGUGCGCGGGGACGACCCCGCGAGCCUCGUCCGCGCCGCCGCCUGCUGCUGGAGCUGGCGCGGCAUCAUGUUCGAUCCUGAAUUCGCCCACGACUACCGCAAGUUCCACGGCGCGGCGCCCGUGCUGGGCUUCCUCUACAAUGCAACCCACAUGACAACCCAGACCGCAGUUCGCGGCGAGAGGCGUUGGUACUCCUCCCACUUCGUCUCCACCGCCACCUUCCGCCCGCCGGCCUGCCGGGACCGCCGCAAGUGGCGAGUCCUCGACUCCCGCCACGGCCUCGCCCUCUUCGACACCCCUAAGAGGCACGAGGACUUCGUCGUCUACGACCUCGUCACCGGCGAGCACUGGGAAAUUCACGCCGAUCCCAAGUGCCACUACUUCAUGUGGUGGCCCGACGACGACGACGACUUGCACGCGAGCCUACGCUGCAACGCCACACUGCGAGAUGGACGCGACACAGGGUCAUCGAGCUCAAAUCAUUGCUCCCCACUCCUGUCCUCUUGGACAACUUCGGCGUGA
rnacentral:rRNA from 1 species